rnacentral:rRNA from 1 species
UACGGAGGGUGCAAGCGUUAAUCGGAAUUACUGGGCGUAAAGCGUGCGCAGGCGGUUUUGUAAGUUUGUCGUGAAAGCCCCGGGCUCAACCUGGGAAUUGCGAUGAAGACUGCAAGGCUUGAAUCUGGCAGAGGGGGGUAGAAUUCCACGUGUAGCAGGUGAAAUGCGUAGAGAUGUGGAGGAACACCGAUGGCGAAGGCAGCCCCCUGGGUCAAGAUUGACGCUCGAUGCACGAAAGCGUGGGGAGCAA